rnacentral:rRNA from 1 species
UACGUAGGGGGCAAGCGUUGUCCGGAUUUAUUGGGCGUAAAGAGCGUGUAGGCGGCUAGAUAGGUCCGUUGUGAAAACUCGAGGCUCAACUUCGAGCUGUCGGUGGAAACUGUCUGGCUAGAGUCCGGAAGAGGAGAAUGGAAUUCCUGGUGUAGCGGUGAAAUGCGCAGAUAUCAGGAGGAACACCGAUGGCGAAGGCAGGUCUCUGGGCAUUAACUGACGCUGAGGAGCGAAAGCAUGGGGAGCGAACAGG